GGCACAGUGGUAGAGUGGUUAAUACGUGUGAUUUGAAAUCACAUGCCUUCGGGCGCCUAGGUUCGAAUCCUGGCUGUGUCG